AUCCAAAUGUUCUAUUGCAAUCCAGCAACACAGUUUUGCUAUUUAUGUGUGUAAUGGUUGGUUGCCACUUUCUAUGAAGCUGGCUUGUCUACCAAAAAAAUUAUAUACUUAACCCUUUGCAACCCAUUGUCACCGUAUUUGCAACAUUAAAAUGCUAACAUUAAAUCCACUGUUGAGACUAUGGUGAUGUAGUUGGUUUACUGACUCAGCUCCCUUAAUACUUAGUGAAGAUGGAAGGUGAAAAUUUUGACAAUAGUUGCGAUUUGGAAGAUGAUCUUGAUUUUGCAUUGUAUGAUGAUGAUUCAAGUGAAAUACCAUUAAAAGAUCAUUUAGGGGCAGAUAGUGAUGUAAUAGUAGUUAGAAAAAAAAAUGAAAUUAUUGAAUCUGAUUCAGAAGACUAAGAUGCACCACCUGUAGACAACAAUGCAUGGGAUAUUACAAGAAGCAACAUUCCCUUACAAAAAAUCAACUUUUCCACAGGAAAUAAAGUACCAGGGCCACAAAUUUUCAACAUCGAAGAACCACUACAAAAUUUUAGCUAUAUUUCAUGGAAGAGUUGGUGGACAAAAUUGUGUCAGAAACAAAUAGUUAUAUUUUAUACUUUAUGCCAAGAACAAAUAUAUGUUUUGCCAAAUGUGCAGGAUUAUUGGUCUACUAGAGCAAAUACCAAAAUACCAUUUUUUUUCUAAUGUGUUCUCUAGAAAAAAAUUCAACCAAUUAUAUUGGACGUUACAUUUAAAAAUAGUAAAUCAGCAACAAACAUAUAACAGAACACAUAUUCAAGUGGUGGGUAAUUUUAUGAAAUAUAUCAAUUUAAAAUUUGUGGAAUAUUUUAUACCUAGACAAGAUAUAUAUGUCAAGGAAUCUGUAAUAAAAUUCAAAGGUAAAAUUAGUUUUAUAACUUACAAUCGGAUUAAGCCUACAAAAUGGGGCAUACACAUGUACAUUUUGGUAGACUCAAAAACUGGGUAUGUAUACAAUAUUCUCUCAUAUAAUGGUAGUAUUACCUCGGAUCUUAUAAAACCUCAAUUGCCUGUUAGUACUAGAAUUUCAUUGCAUCUGUAUAACAAAUUAUUGUCGAACAUACUAGAUGCACAAGGUUAUCAUAUAUAUACAGAUAGAUAUUAAACUAGAAUUGUACUGGCAGAAGAAUUACUACAAGUGAAAUGCCAUCUAACAAGUAGAAUAAAAAUCAAUUGCAAGGUUAUUCCUGACCCAACAAGAAACCCGAAUUCAGUGAAAAUAAAUCAGUUGCUUAUAAAAAGGGAAAAAUGAUGAUGGUGAACAACAAAAUGUGGAAAAGGCAAAAGUUGUUGUUAACUACAGGGCUUCAAUGGGUGGUAUUGAUCGCAUGGUUCAAUAUGUAUCAUCAUAUUGUUUCCUAAGAAAAUCUUCAAGUGGUGGAGGAAAAUGUUUUUUUGGGGAAUAGAGAUGUCUGCCAUAAAUGUAUACAUUUUAUAUAAGUUUGUAAAAAAAGUAAGAAUGAAAAACCACUCCCAUUUUCAGUUAGUCAAGAGAUUAGUUGAUUAACUCGUAGGUGAGUUUCGCAAAGAUGGAUCAAGACCUUUCAACACAUGAAACAAGAUGACAAAAGACUGCAUAUAAUGCGAAAAGGCAAGAAAAGAGAUUGUGUUGUGUGUUCUAAUAGACAAGAAAAAGAACAAAGAUGCGAAACUUCGGAAUAUUGUGAUAUUUCCCUAAUAAACUGUGAAUGCAUAUGGGUGAUUGUUUCUUAAGAUAUCACACUUUAAGAAAUUUUAAAAACUUAUGUUUUUCUUUUAUAAUAUUAGUUAGAAUAUGUUUCUUUAUAAAAUAGCUGAGAAAUAAAUGUUUCGUUUUAAUGCAUCAUCUCCAUUUUUCUUUUACAGCACAGGUAUGUACUUGUAACUAAUAUAGUGCUGGAGUUAUUGGUAUCCUCUAUGAGUUACUAGGCUGGAGUGCAAGAGGUUAACAUUUUAAGAGCUGUUGUUUUUAAGAAUAAAUAAUUAAUUUUAGAUA